UUGGCUUUAGUGUCCUCGGCUCCGGCCGCCAGGGGCGAGCGGUCCGUGCCGGGCCCCGCGCCCGGGCCCAGACCCUCGGCGGCGGCCGCCGCGGCUGCAGCCGCCGCCGCCUCUUCCAGAGAACACCACAUUUGAAGAAGUCUUUUAUGGUUCAUUUCCCAGGACUUGGUGUUACAUUAUUUUAGGAAAGAUGUGAAGAUCCUGA